UAAAUUUUACUAAAUUUUGACAAACAUAACAAAUAAUUUUUGAAUAGUUUAAUUAUUUUGGAUAUUUAGGUCCAAAAUUAAUUGACAUAUUUAGAUUUAUAAUUAUAAUCUUAGAUAAUGAGAUUAUAUUACGAUUAAAUAUAAUUAAUAUUUUGGAUAUUAAAUUAAUGUUUGGGUUUUUGAAUACCCUUUUUGGAUAACGGGUAAUUUCCGGACCAAUCGGAUAUUCACGGGUUUACUAAAACUCUACCCAAUAAGGAAAUUUCCUAAAAUUUUAACCCGCCCUAACCCCGUUUUUUGGUUCGGGUAUUGAGUUGGUUAUCGGAUCCGUUUUUUCGUCAGCCCUAUCAAAAAUAAUCUAAUAUAGGGCCCAAUUAGGUCCAUAAAUAUAACAAAAAUACUAUACAAAGACUAAUUCCAAUUUGAAAAAUUCUUUCUAAUGCCUUUUUCACACUACCCUUUUUAAUUCUACUCUUUCCUAUUUAGCAUUUUUAUUUAUACUCUCUUUAAAUUAUUAAUGACCAUUUUACCCUUAUUUGUAAAUUGAUUUAUGUUAACAAAAUGAAAUAUUAAUAGUUUUCGUCUAAAAUAUUCCAAAAUAAAAUUUCCCUCCAAAACUUUCCCGCCAAAAAAUUUCGAAAAAAAAAUUUCCUGCCAAAAUUUGUUUUCAAAAACAUUUUUCCCGCCAAAAACUUUUGAAAAACAAAAUUCCCGCCAAAAAAGUUUUCAAAAAUAUUUUUCCCACCAACAAAUUUCGAAAAAAAA
rnacentral:sRNA from 1 species